UCCGGUUUAACACCGGCAGUCUCCAUAGAGUGCCCAACUGAAUGGUGGCAACUAGGGAUAAGGGUUGCGCUCGUUAAGGGACUUAACCCGACAUCUCACGAUACGAGCUGACGACAGCCAUGCAGCACCUGUACUCCCUGUCUCCGAAGGACACCGCAUCUCUGCGGCUUUUCUCUACAUGUCAAACCCAGGUAAGGUUCUUCGCGUUGCCUCGAAUUAAGCAACAUGCUCCGCCGCUUGUGCGGGGCCCCGUCAAUUCCUUUGAGUUUUAACCUUGCGGCCGUACUCCCCAGGCGGGGCACUUAAUGCGUUAGCUACGGCACAGAGCCCGUUGAUAAGGCCCCACACCUAGUGCCCAACGUUUACAGCGUGGACUAC
rnacentral:misc_RNA from 1 species